UUCCAUUAUACUUUAUUUUGACCAUAUGAUCAACACUUGUACAUAGUGCCAUUUACUUUGUGUUCUUCACUCUCGCGUUGUGUUUUGAUCGUUCGAAACUCAUUGCCAGAACGAAUGCAAAUUUCAUUUGGGAAGGAUCGGUGCCGGAAGAUGCAGUGAAAAUUAUAAAAUGUUUAUAUAAAAGUGGUUAAGUAAAUCGUGAAAGAUGUAAACGCAGGCGUAACUGCAGUUUGUUCUGUUACAUGAUCUACGGCUAUUUCAUUGCCAAAGCACCUGAUAACCGUUCAAAGAAGGUGAAUUGGGCUUACAGAGUCGCCAUUUAACUUCAAUAUAUUCGUGAUCGGAAAACGCAUCAAACAACAAGUGUUUUUCUUCCAACAGCACGCGCCAUCGGUGGAGCAAGCAGCCAACGAUUUGAUCGCCAAUACGCGCCAUCAAGUAUUAUAAUAUUCCCGAAUAGCUCUGAGAAUAAAAAACUGCACACUUACUGUCCGAA